rnacentral:piRNA from 1 species
UUUGACUGCCUCUUACAGUUU